rnacentral:rRNA from 1 species
ACGAACGCUGGCGGCGUGCUUAACACAUGCAAGUCGAACGGAAAGGCCCUGCUUUUGUGGGGUGCUCGAGUGGCGAACGGGUGAGUAACACGUGAGUAACCUGCCCUUGACUCUGGGAUAACUUCAGGAAACUGGGGCUAAUACCGGAUAGGAGCUCCUGCUGCAUGGUGGGGGUUGGAAAGUUUCGGCGGUUGGGGAUGGACUCGCGGCUUAUCAGCUUGUUGGUGGGGUAGUGGCUUACCAAGGCUUUGACGGGUAGCCGGCCUGAGAGGGUGACCGGCCACAUUGGGACUGAGAUACGGCCCAGACUCCUACGGGAGGCAGCAGUGGGGAAUAUUGCACAAUGGGCGGAAGCCUGAUGCAGCAACGCCGCGUGCGGGAUGACGGCCUUCGGGUUGUAAACCGCUUUCGCCUGUGACGAAGCGUGAGUGACGGUAAUGGGUAAAGAAGCACCGGCUAACUACGUG